rnacentral:rRNA from 1 species
AUACAGAGGGUGCGAGCGUUAAUCGGAAUUACUGGGCGUAAAGCGUACGUAGGCGGUUAUUUAAGUCAGAUGUGAAAGCCCCGGGCUUAACUUGGGAACUGCAUUUGAAACUGGGUAACUAGAGUUUAGUAGAGGGGAGUGGAAUUUCAGGUGUAGCGGUGAAAUGCGUAGAGAUCUGAAGGAACACCAGUGGCGAAGGCGACUCCCUGGACUAAAACUGACGCUGAGGUACGAAAGCGUGGGUAGCAAACAGGAUUAGAUACCCUUGUAGUCC